AUUGGGCAACAUCUAAUCAAAGAAUGUAAACAAGUCUAAGAAUCUGUCCACACAUUCAAAAAUAGAAAUAGAAAAUGGUGAAAAAUGCCAAUUACAAUUAUCCACAGCCAAAAGUGUCUGGCCAACAGUCCAGAGCCUCUAGGGCCUUAUAUUACAGGGCUGGCCACCAAAGAAAAUCAUCCUGUAUGCCAUUAGACUUCCAUUCAUUCUCUUUUCUAUUGAGCUGUAAACCAACAACACAGUUUAGGAGGAUGGACUGACUCUUUUCAGUCUGCAAACAUCUGAAAUUGUCCAGUCCCAGAAAACAAACUCAACCUUCACUAGACAUAACGACAAAAAUACCUUGAUGCUGCAUUUCCACUGAGAUACAAAUGGAGGGGCUUACAUUCAGCAGCAGAAACAAAAAACCAAAACUCAGAAUUGUAGUGCAAAACAUUGAAGACGAUCUUUAUUGUUCACAGUUAAAUACAAGCCACUGCUUUAGGAACUUCCUUUUUUGCCAUUUCAUCCCAGAUUCUCCAGCUCUGGUCAGAGUCCUGGUUUCUUCAGUUUGUGCUGAUUGUACCUUCUGUCUUUGUUUGCGGUAGUUACUACGGUUGGCAUUUAAAGUGGAUUGUUGAACAUGCUUUAGAUAGCGAGGCAAAAGGAAGUGACAGCAGGAGUUCUCGGUGGACAACAGGAUUUGGAUGACUUUCAAUACAGGAGUUUACUUCUAAUACUCGGUAGAAAUGAGGUAACUCCCUGUUUAUCAGACCUGCAGAAGGGAACCUGAUUGGACAACAUGUUUUUGGUUUUGUUUCACACACUUUACCAGCUGAAUGUACAAACAACAGGAGAAACAACACUUUCUGUUAAGAGAUGUUUGAAUUCAGCCAGAACACAAAUGUUUGCAUGGCACUUCAAAAUGAUCAGUUGGUAAUCUUGAACAGUAAAAGCAGAUAUAGAUAUAUAUUUUU